GCCGGUGUAGCUCAAGGGCAGAGCGUCCCUUUCGUAAAGGGAAGAUGUGGGUUCGAGUCCCACCGCCGGCU
rnacentral:tRNA from 1 species